rnacentral:rRNA from 1 species
UUUCGUACCCCGGGUGACUUAAGCAUAUCAAUAAGCGGAGGAAAAGAAACCAACAGGGAUUGCCUCAGUAACGGCGAGUGAAGCGGCAACAGCUCAAAUUUGAAAUCUGGCUCCUUCGGGGCCCGAGUUGUAAUUUGCAGAGGAUGCGUCGGGUACGGGUGCCUUCCGAGUUCCCUGGAACGGGACGCCAUAGAGGGUGAGAGCCCCGUCUGGUAGGACACCCAGCCCGUGUGACGCUCCCUCGACGAGUCGAGUAGUUUGGGAAUGCUGCUCUAACGGGAGGUAUACUCCUUCCAAGGCUAAAUACCGGCUGGAGACCGAUAGCGCACAAGUAGAGUGAUCGAAAGAUGAAAAGCACUUUGAAAAGAGAGUCAAACAGCACGUGAAAUUGUUAAAAGGGAAGCGCUCGCUACCAGACUUGGGUUCGGCGGUUCAACCGGGGCCACGCCCCGGGGCAUUCCGCCGGCCCAGGCCAGCAUCAGCUUUCCGUCGGGGGUAAAGGCGUCGGGAAUGUGGCUCCCCUUCGGGGGAGUGUUAUAGCCCGUCGUGUCAUACCCUUCGGGGGGCUGAGGUACGCGCUUCUGCAAGGAUGCUGGCGUAAUGGUAGCUAGUGACCCGUCUUGAAACACGGACCAAGGAGUCAACCUUAUGUGCGAGUGCCCGGGCGUAAAACCCCAGCGCGGAAUGAAAGUGAACGUAGGUGAGAGCUUCGGCGCAUCACCGACCGAUCCUGAUGUCCUCGGACGGAUUUGAGUGAGAGCAUAUAGGGUUGGACCCGAAAGAAGAUGAACUAUGCGUGUGUAGGGUGAAGCCAGAGGAAACUCUGGUGGAGGCUCGCAGCGGUUCUGACGUGCAAAUCGAUCGUCAAACAUGCGCAUGGGGGCGAAAGACUAAUCGAUCCUCCCACGCCC